CCUUCAUGGUAUUCACUUCUGGUGGCAAGUGAUGCCUUUGGAAGCUGUUUACAGGAAGUUUUUUAAGAAUGUGCUGCAUUCUCUGUAUGUCUUGCUAUUUAAUGGAUGUGCUUAUAAAUUUGUUUUAAUUAUAUUUUACUGUCCAUGUGAUUAAUGUUAUGCCUGUUUCAAUUUUUCUUGUAGACCCGCCUUGAGUCCCAGGGCUCAAGGGACUGCAAAAUGAUGGGCCAUCUAAUGCACAUUGACUGCCCUGUGUCAGGGAAACUUGAGGAAGAGGAAAUAAUACUACCACCAGCAACCUGCUUUGGUUCAAGCUGGAUGCCCUCCUUCCCUAACACAGAGCCACUGAGGCCAAGUGCACGUCUGCAGAGCUGCUGCCGACUGGGAAGAGCUCUCAGGCGUGUACUGUUGUUUGGGGAAUUCAGACAGCUUUGCUUCACACAAGUCAUCAGUCACUCCAGGGACUUCAUGCUGUAUUAUUUGCUAUUCUGAUGAUGUAAUUUGCUGUUUCCCGAAUUCUGGUCUUCAGCUCCCAGAACCCUGAUCAUUGGCUAGGAUGAUCAGGCCAAUGAAAUUCUAACUGAUGAGACUUUUUUUGGAUGAUAUGAAGGGGACUUUCAGCUAAAUCCAGUGCAUCAUUUUAUGGCCAGACACCAUCAGAGACAGACUACUAUGGCCCACAAAAACCUGUCCUAUUUGCCCCAGAGGUGGCACUUGGACCUAAAAUGACUCCUAUUGCUUGACAAAUUUUGAGAACCACUGCAUUAAUUUUCUUCAAAGAACAGGUAAUUAUACUGUCAUAUAUUCUUGCUAAAUCACAGUAUCGUCAUAGGUAUCACAGCUGUACAGAAGGACUAAUUGCUUAGACCUCCCCAACUCAGUUUUGUCCUAUGGGCUUACCAAUGACAAAAGAUACUUGUUCUUGGCUUCUCUUGAUACAAUAUCUGCUGGUGUCGACUAUGUUUUGAUUUUUCAGAAUCCCUUGUUAGCUAGCUAUUAGAAACAGGAAUUGCAGUUCUGUCUUUACAACAGAAAAGGAAUUUUUUAGGCCUUCACGUGUUCUUGGGCUUCUGCUCUUAGCAUCACAUACAUUAUUGGCUAAGCUAAUCCUACUUGGCUGAAGAAACAUUUCAGCAACAUACACAGGCCAAUUUUGCCCUAUCAUGACACAGAUGGGGAGGACACAGAAACCAGUGUUUUCAAGGCACAGACACUCACAUUCACAUUAGAAAUUUGAAGAACAAUUUCUUAUCAUUCAAAAAGUUCAAUUAAUCCCUUGAGAAAGCAGUAUACUUGUCUACAUCCAAACAGUUGGAUUUCUCAUCUCCUGUCUAUUUUGUCAUCACUGAAUUUCCCAUCACAUUGAAUAACAGGCAUUGGAUAUCUGAACACAGAAUUGCAUAGGCCUUGAAUAUCAGGUUUGGAAAUUUUCCACUGGAAUUGUCAAUUAAUAUGAUUGUGUUUUAUUCCUCAAAAAAGGAUCCUUCAUAAUGGAAAAGUGAACAUUCCACUUAGCUAAGAAGAGUGUCUAGCCAUGAGGAACAGUUAAUAUAGAAUAGGUGAGCUGAAUACCUAUCCUGAAGAGAUAUCAAGCUGAGUAAAUGGUUAACCAUGUAAGGCAUUUUAGCAUUGCAAAGCAUGCAGCCUUACCUUGGAAAACACCUUGCAGAAUGUCUAUUUAAAGUUAAUGACCCCGGCCUUACAAGCAGAUCCUUCUCGUUUUAAAAAUAUGUGCAUUAAAGUAGGACUACUUUGCAGAAGUAGGUGGUUUUCAGUUGUGCACAUGCAGCAAAGCAUCCUGACUGGCCACAUUUAAGAAAAACAAGGCAACUCCUACACCCAAAUAACUUUUUAUAUGUGAAAUAUCCUUAAAUUGAUUCUAUACUGCACAAAUGAGCCAGCAUGGCGUAGUCAAAGUAUUGGACUACAACUAUCAAGAUUAGGAUUCAAAUCAUUGCUUGACCACUGGGUGGCUUUAGGCAAGUCAUACUCUUUCAGCCUCAGAGAAAAGUAAAAAAAAAAACAAAAAAAAACAUCUGAACUAAUCUUGCCAAGAAAAGACAGGGACACCAUAAAUUGACUUGAAUGCAUGCAACAAGAAUUCCAGAUAAACUGAGAACAAGGGCACGAACAGAACAUGGGAAAAUGUUCUAAAUUAACAAGUUUUCAUUUGAAAUAAGCCUCCAGAUGUUGCUGUGUUGCAACUCCCAUUAUUCAUUAAUAUAGACUAUCUUGACUCUGGCUGAUGGAGCAUGCAGUCAAUCUCCAUCUGGAAAACUGUGUGAGUCCCCCCAACUCUGAAGAGUAUUUUCUACACUCAUGUUUCAUGCCAGAGUAAAAUAAACUGAAGUGUGAAAAGCAGACAGGUGGCAUGACAAGAGAUUAUGAUGUCAACACUGCAGAGUCUGAUGUUAAGAUUCCAGCAUUCAUGCAAAGCCUAGACUUCGCUGGUGAGCAACUUCUGUGGAUUCAUCAGGGAGUCCACUGAAGUUCUUUGAAAAUGAGAACAAAAAACUCAUAUAAGAAGGGCUAAAUAGCAGAAUUGCCUCAAGCUAUUUAUCUCCUAGGAAAGAAAACUGAGAUCAAACAUGAAUUCUGCAACUCUGGAAGUGUUAAAAGUCCCAUCUAUACUGCCAUUAUAAUGCAGAUUUAACUGCAUUACAUGGUCAUACAAUUCAGUUCAAUGCAGUUAGUGUUAUAUGAGUCUAGGCAUCAUAUAAUGCAGGUCAAUCUGCAUUAUAAUGGCAGUAUAGAUGGGGCCAAAGAUAUUCUGUCUUUCUCCAGAAGAGACUGAAUGUUCACGAUAACCAUCUAUGGCAAUACAAAAUCUGUGGAAGAAUAACAAACUGAAUGUCUAACUAUCAAUGCAGUCCAAGACACAAAUGCACUCAUUUACUGUGUUUUAUAAAAAAAAAUAGUCUAAUCCUUAAUAUUCUGGGCAGGACUGGCUGCUACUGAAUAUGGCAAUUAAAACCUUUCUUGCCCUGUUCUAAUCACCAUUGCCUA